rnacentral:lncRNA from 1 species
CAUUACACCGUCGUGUCAUCACUCAGCCAUAGGCCAUGACCCCGUCUAUCUGAGUCUUCCCGAUCCAGCGAAUAAGGGGUUUCCUUGAACCCGCCGGGUACGAGGUCUGAAGGAACACUAACUCACCCCAAUAUGCCAAGCAUUGUGGGUUACACAAAUGAUGUCGGCAAAUAUAUGAUUAAUACUAAACCCGGUAAAAAUAACACAAGGUUCCUAGUAUUAAUCUCCACACAAUCAACACAU